CCUACGUGUGACAGCAGUGAGGAAUAUUGGUCAAUGGGCGCGAGCCUGAACCAGCCAAGUAGCGUGAAGGAUGACUGCCCUACGGGUUGUAAACUUCUUUUAUAAAGGAAUAAAGUGAGGCAAGUGUGCCUUUUUGUAUGUACUUUAUGAAUAAGGAUCGGCUAACUCCGUGCCAGCAGCCGCGGUAAUACGGAGGAUCCGAGCGUUAUCCGGAUUUAUUGGGUUUAAAGGGAGCGUAGAUGGGUUGUUAAGUCAGUUGUGAAAGUUUGCGGCGCAACCGUAAAAUUGCAAUUGAUACUGGCAGUCUUGAGUACAGUUGAGGUAGGCGGAAUUCGUGGUGUAGCGGUGAAAUGCUUAGAUAUCACGAAGAACUCCGAUUGCGAAGGCAGCUUACUAAACUGCCACUGACAUUGAUGCUCGAAAGUGUGGGUAUCAAACAGGAUUAGAUACCCUAGUAGUC
rnacentral:rRNA from 1 species